rnacentral:rRNA from 1 species
GACGAACGCUGGCGGCGUGCUUAACACAUGCAAGUCGAACGGACAGGCCCUGCUUUUGUGGGGUGCUCGUGUGGCGAACGGGUGAGUAAAACGUGAGUAACCUGCCCUUGACUUUGGGAUAACUUCAGGAAACUGGGGCUCAUACCGGAUAGGAGCUCUUGCUGCAUGGUGGGGGAUGGAAAGUUUCGGCGGUUGGGGCUGGACUCGCGGGUUCUGCGCUUGUUGGUGGGGUAGUGACAGACGAAGGCUGUGACGGGUAGCCGGCCUGAGAGGGGGACCGGCCACAUUGGUACUGAGGGACGGACCAGACGCCUACGGGAGGCAGCAGGGGGAAAUAUGGCGCAACAGGCGGAAGCCAGAGACAGCGACGCCGGGUUCGUGAUGACGUCCUUCGGGGGGUAAACAUCUUUCGCCGGAGACGAAGAGUGAUUGACGGUAAUGAGUAAAGAAGCACCGGCUAACUACGUG